CCCCACAGCCCUACCCCUCCCAUCACUUCCCUCUGCACAAUCCAAAGUUCCUUCAUUCUUCUCUACUGCAACCCCCACUUCCCCCACACUAUGAAUCAGCAUCUGCCUAUCAGAGAAAACAUUUGGCCUUUGUGUUUUGGGGGAUUGGCUUAUUUCACUUAGCAUGAUGUUCUCUAGUUGCAUCCACUUACCUGCAAAUGCCAUGAUUUCAUUUUUCUUUAAUGCUGGGUAAUAUUCCAUUGUGUAAAUGC
rnacentral:lncRNA from 1 species